CUACGGGUUGCUCCAGUGAGGAAUUUUGCGCAAUGGGGGAAACCCUGACGCAGCAACGCCGCGUGAGCGAAGAAGGCCUUCGGGUCGUAAAGCUCUGUCAAGUGGGAAAAAAAUUCUUUGAUGAACAGUCAAAGGACUUGAUGGUACCACUGGAGGAAGCACCGGCUAAGUCCGUGCCAGCAGCCGCGGUAAUACGGAGGGUGCAAGCGUUGUUCGGAAUUACUGGGCGUAAAGAGCGUGUAGGCGGUUUGACAAGUCAGAUGUGAAAGCCCCGGGCUCAACCCGGGAAGUGCAUUUGAAACUGUUUCACUAGAGUAUGGGAGAGGAGAUGGGAAUUCCUGGUGUAGAGGUGAAAUUCGUAGAUAUCAGGAGGAACACCCGUGGCGAAGGCGAUUCUCCGGACCAAUACUGACGCUGAGACGCGAAAGCGUGGGGAGCAAACAGGAUUAGAUACCCCCGUAGUC
rnacentral:rRNA from 1 species